UCCGUAGGUGAACCUGCGGCGGCAACGAGA
rnacentral:rRNA from 1 species